GACGAACGCUGGCGGCGUGCUUAACACAUGCAAGUCGAACGGAGUGGCGAACGGGUGAGUAACACGUGGGUGAUCUGCCUUGCACUUCGGGAUAAGCUUGGGAAACUGGGUCUAAUACCGGAUAGUGCAAGAUGAGAGCGCGGCCUAUCAGCUUGGUGGUGGGGUAAUGGCCUACCAAGGCGUCGCCGGGUAGCCGGCAUGAGAGGGUGUACAGGCACAUUGGUACUGAGAGACGGCCCAGACUCCUACGGGAGGCAGCAGGGGCGAAUAUUGCACAAUGGGCGGGAGCCUGAUGCAGCGACGCCGCGUGUGGGAUGAAGGCCUUCGGGUUGGAAACUCCUUUCGACAGGGACGCGGUACCUGUAUAAGAAGCACCGGCUAACUACGUGCCAGCCGCCGCGGUAAUUC
rnacentral:rRNA from 1 species